AUGGAGCUUCUAAAAAAAAAAAUCAGAGGGAAGCACUAUUGAUUAAGUUCGGUUAGAGUCACAGCAUUGUGAUUUGAAAGAGGAAUUGACACAUUAAGAAAUUAUAAAUUAGGGUUGGCUAAGGAUAUGUAUGACAGGGUAAAAUAAAACAUAAUUCCAGAAGGGCAAACAACAAGCUCCAAAAACACGAGACUUGCCACAUUCAUAGCAUAACCUCAGUAAAAUUUACCAAAGAAAAGAAAAAGAAAGCCUCACAAAUCAAUAGUAAAAUAGAACAAAUUAGAAAAAUGAACAAAGAACAUGAAUAGGAACAUUUCCACAGAAAUCUGAAAGUCUACUGAACUUGUGAAGCCAUAUAUACCCACACUAAGGCUGUAUUCACCAUUUUUACCCUGGACCUGCCCAUCUGAAAGCUUGCAGACCCCACUUACUGAGUAUGUGCUGAGCAUUUGAUACAUCCCAUGCUGUUCUCAACCUACUUAAUUUCAUUUUCCCCAUAAUCCUACAAAAAUAAAAUCCAACCUCUGCAGCAUGCCCUUCAAGGUUCUACAGGAACAGACCCCCGUAGGUGAGGGCACCAGGAAGCAUCACCCAACCCCGAUUUUUUUGAGAGUAAAAGCAAGUACCAUUUGCAAUUAUGCCGGGAAAAGAGAUGAACACCCAGACCACCAUGGGCUAGUGGGGAUGCAUGGCCACCCUUUGUGUGCCUCCUAUGCUGCUCUCCUUGCUGACCUACUGCAUUCCCCAGCUCUACCAUGCUGUGUCAUGCAUGUGGAAGACUGACGAGACUCUACCUUUCCCAACCCAACCCAAAAAACUCAUUCUUCAACACCUAUUCAGAAACAGCUGCUUCUGUGAAGUUCAUCCCAAGUUUUUCAAAGCCAGUUUACAGAUUGGUUAGAGCCCAGGUAUUGUCCCCUUGUUGAAUCUAUGAGUUCACA